rnacentral:rRNA from 1 species
UGGGGAAUUUUGGACAAUGGGCGCAAGCCUGAUCCAGCAAUGCCGCGUGCAGGAUGACGGCCCUCUGGGUUGUAAACUUCUUUUAUCUGGGACGAAAAAAGAUCAUUCCUGAUCACUUGACGGUACCAGAGGAAUAAGCACCGGCUAACUCCGUGCCAGCAGCCGCGGUAAUACGGAGGGUGCGAGCGUUGUCCGGAUUUAUUGGGUUUAAAGGGUGCGUAGGUGGUUGAGUAAGUCUGGUUUGAAAGUCAGUCGCUUAACGAUUGAGGGUGGCUGGAUACUGCUGAACUUGAAUGCCCUGGAGGUAGGUGGAACGGGUUGUGUAGCGGUGAAAUGCAUAGAUAUGACCCAGAACCCCAAUUGCGAAGGCAGCCUACUACGGGGUGAUUGACACUGAGGCACGAGAGCAUGGGGAGCAAACA